rnacentral:lncRNA from 1 species
GACAAUAGUCAAAUUACUGACUAAUCGCCAUUAAACCAAAACACAACAACAACAUUUGUCGUCGCGAGAGCAUCGUCACUUUGUGGUUUGUCUCUUGGACAAAAUCUUGCCUUGUGAAGCCGAAUCUUGACCUUAGUUGUACACGUCGUUUAGUUUUGACUGUUCUUUAGAGACUUGGUUAGUACCGGUGCUUUGGACUUUGACAGGGGCUUUGGACUUUGACGGAAGAAAGUUUUUGGAGUGUGGAUUUGGUGGAUGAGGAGGAGGACGCUGUUUCGGUGGACGAGGCGGCGGUGGACGCGGAAGGGAGAAUUCGGCGGAGGAAGGGGACGAGGAGGUUAUUGACUGUUUUCAAGAUUGCUGAGAGUUGCAGAGAGACCGAGGGUGGUACACUC